ACACUUGAAUCAAGUUGCUUGAGGAAGGAGGUCUAUCUUGGAAAUAAAAUCCCUGGUUAUCAGUAAACUGGAGAGAUUCAUGAGGGAAGAGUCUCAAGUAGUUCAGUAUGUUCUUCAGUUCAGUGGACCGUGUUUCUGUAAAGUCCAAAAUAACAAUUUCAGAGUGUCCUGGGAAGGAGAAAUGAGAGGGUUGAAAGGACAGACAGAACGUUUUUCAUUUUUAUUAGGCAUGGAAAUCUGGAAAAGCAGAACUUGUACCUUGCAAGCUAGAGUAUUUUUUUUUUGUCUUAAGUAUUGUAUUUGUGUCCUUUGUAGCUCUCCUAUAAUAUUCAGGCCUUUUAAGACCAAAGUGUUUUGAGAAACAAAAACAAAGGUCUGAAUAAUCCCUCUCUGAGGCUUUUAGCUUGAAAUACAUGCUAUUCUUACCCACAUUUUGAACAAUUUGUCCAGAACGGAAUUCGUUCAUAUAGUAUUUUGCUUCCACAGAGUUAGAGAGAAUCAGUGGCUUCAUUGUUUGUUACUAUGGAAACCAGUCAGCCUAUCCUGAAUAUAUCUGUUAGAUCACAGAGAACGAAGCACAUAUCUCCGUAUAACUUCAUCAGUGAGCAAGUUGAGAAUUCCUAGUCACUGGUCUUCUAAGGUGUGACAAGAUUCUUGCAAGGGUGAUCAUGCAGGGUUCGCCCCGGAAGCUCUCAGCUGUGAAUUUUCUCAGUACAUUUUUCCAAGGCCGAAGGCAUUCGACUUCGGAUCCCUUACUCCGUCUAUACCAGAGGCGUCGGAGCUCAGUGAUAGAGGUGCUUUCCUCAUCCUCUCAUCGGGUCAUGGUGGCUGUUUCCUCUGUCAGCAGCGCAGAGCUAAAUCCAACUUUUCCUGAAAGAAAAAGAGGCUCAAGACGUCCAACACCAAAAUAUACUAAAGUCGGAGAACGGUUGAGGCAUGUUAUCCCCGGGCAUAUGGCAUGUUCAAUGGCAUGUGGUGGUCGAGCCUGCAAGUAUGAAAAUCCAGCACGUUGGAGUGAGCAGGAGCAAGCCAUUAAAGGGGUUUACUCUUCCUGGGUAACAGAUAACAUACUUGCGAUGGCUCGCCCAUCAACCGAAGUGAUUGAAAAGUACAACAUCAUUGAACAGUUUCAAAGCAGUGGCAUCAAAACAGUAAUUAACCUUCAGCGUCCUGGAGAGCAUGCUAGCUGUGGGAAUCCGCUAGAACAAGAAAGUGGUUUUACUUACCUUCCUGAAGCUUUCAUGGAGGCUGGCAUUUACUUCUACAAUUUUGGAUGGAAGGAUUAUGGAGUAGCAUCUCUCACUACCAUCCUGGAUAUGGUAAAGGUGAUGACAUUUGCUUUACAGGAAGGGAGACUAGCAAUUCAUUGUCAUGCAGGACUUGGACGAACAGGUGUUUUAAUAGCGUGUUACUUAGUUUUUGCAACAAGAAUGACGGCAGAUCAAGCAAUUAUUUUUGUUCGGGCAAAGAGACCAAAUUCCAUACAAACCAGAGGACAGUUAUUGUGUAUAAGAGAAUUUACCCAAUUUUUGAUUCCUCUUCGCAAUGUGUUUUCUUGCUGUGAGCCCAAAGCACAUGCUGUCACUUUGUCACAGUACCUAAUUCGCCAGCAGCACCUACUUCAUGGUUAUGAAGCGCGACUUCUGAAACACGUGCCCAAAAUUAUUCAUCUAGUUUGCAAAUUGCUGUUGGAUUUGGCCGAAAACAGGCAAGUGAUAGAGGAAGAAGUGCUAGAGGUGCCAGAUCUUACAGCAGAAAUUGAAAAGACAGUUUCUGAGAUGGUCACAAUGCACCUAGAUAAAGAGUUAGUACGACAAGGUUGUGAUGCCCCCGAUUUGUUCACCCCCUCAGCAGUGACAACACCUUUUGAGAACCAGGAUGCCGUUUUCUCCAUUGAACGGGAAUAUGACCCUCUCUGGAAGAGACGGAAUGUUGAAUGCCUUCAGCCUCUGACUCAUUUGAAAAGACGCCUCAGCUACAGUGAUUCAGAUUUAAAGAGAGCUGAAUUUCUUUUGGAGCAAGGAGAAACUCCAUGGACAGUGCCGGCACAAAUACUAUUCUGCCGCAAUCUCAAGCAACAGAAGAGUAUGAGCCAUUGUUAUGUUCCACAGUCUCCUCAGUUGGAUUUAAGUAAAGAAGACUUAGUGCGCAAUACAUUUUCUUUCUGGAAUCAGGCUAAGUUCAGUGGUAUGGAAGGACCUAAAGGUAAUGGUUCACCAGUUUUCCAUAGGAGAAAAGUUCUGAAAGAAGUGCAGCGUAGUAGAACAUUUUCUACAGGCUUUUCAGGGGCACACAACAGUAAGGAACUGGAAACAUCAAAAAUUGCCAGUGUACAUGACAAGGAACCGAGUAGGUUGCCGCAGAAAGUUAAUGAUCGUAAGUGUGAAUCUGGGGGCAAAGAGGGCCGCGGACUGGUGAAUUGUGCUGGGAAUUUUUGUGGUGCACAGGACCAUGCUGCUUCUCCUAAGGCAGAAUUCUAUGUUGGAUGUGAAAGCCAAGAAAGUAAAGACGCAUCAGAAACUAUUCCACAUAUUGUUUUGCAGUCUGAGUUGAGUAUCGAGGCAAGAAGAGUUUUGGCAGCUAAGGCCUUGGCGAACAUAAAUGAAUUUGUGGAAGAGGAGGAAGUGAAGCAGAAGGUGGAAAUGUGGCAGAAAGAGCUGAAUUCCCGAGAUGGAGCUUGGGAAAAAAUAUGUGGAGAAAGAGAUCCUUUUAUCCUCUGUAGCUUGAUGUGGUCCUGGGUAGAACAACUAAAGGAACCCAUUAUAACUAAAGACGAUAUUGACAUGUUGGCCAGCAGAUGCACAGACACCCGGGAAGCACUUUCUUUCCUAGAAAAGAGAUGCAGGACAGAGACCCUGUUCUCCAGGGACGGCUCCUGCUCCUUCUUCCUUCAAGGGCCAAAUCUGAUGAGGAAGAGAGUCCCAUCUUACCCACUACCUACCCAAGCGGUGAAUUUCCCAGAAGGUGAACUCCAACGGAGAUCUCGGAAAGAAUGGAAGAAGGACAACACCAGACUAUUCUCUGUAUCUUGCACUGUGUAGUAAACUUACGAGCGAUUCCAGUGGAAGUGGAGGAAGCUUUUCUUGUGCGAGCCAUUAAAGCUUUCACUAAGAUCAGUUUUGAUUCUGAAAAUGGACCAAUGGUUUACCAGACCCUGAAAAAAGUAUUUAAACACACAUUAGAAGAAAAGAGAAAAGUUUCAAAAGAAGGAUCAGAAAACCCUUCUUGAUGUUUACAGAUAUAUGUUCGGGUCCUCGAAAGAUGCCAGGAAAUGAACUGUGUGAUGCUAGCUCCUUUAUAUUUGUGUUUUUUUCAUUGCUGUGUAUUUUAAAGUUGAAAAGCUUGAUAAGAUUUAUGAGCAUGCAUGAAAUAUGUUGGAUUUUUAAGCUGCUUUUUGUGGCUGUAUCUGAGGCACUUCAUAUAAAAUGAGAUGUUUUUGUGGAUUGUGAGUGAUCUCUGUUAUUUUGAAACUAUUGACUUUAAUCAGUGACCUAUUGUGUGUGUAUGCGUGGGUGUGUAAAAUUGCCAUAAGGUCAGUGCCAUUUUCUUUUAUUUAAUUAAUAUUGUUGCAUUAAGUAUGUGAAGUUCACAUUAAUCUAUUCUAUUUUAUAUUAUAGUUAAUAAAUGUGGCUAUCUUCUCCAAAACAGUCAAUUUGCUAGUCAAACUCUGUAGAAUUCUUCAAUGUAGGUAGUUUAGCAAUAGAAAAACACUUAGAAUGUCUGCCUUUUUUUCCUGUUGCUUAACUUAUAGUAGGUCACCAAAUGUCUUAAAAUAUUGCUCUAUAUUUGUGUCUGCAAAUGUUGCCGUGGCAAGAUAAAAAGCUUUUAAAAAUAAAUGAUGGUGUGUUUCAAGGU